UACGGUAGGGGGCAAGCGUUGUCCGGAUUUAUUGGGCGUAAAGAGCGUGUAGGCGGCCAGACAGGUCAGCUGUGAAAACGUCGAGGCUCAACCUCGAGACGUCGGUUGAAACCGUCUGGCUAGAGUCCGGAAGGAGGAGACUGGAAGUUCAUGGUGGUAGCAGUAGAAAUGCGUAGAGAUCAUGGAGGAAGACCAGUGGCGAAGGCGGGUCUCUGGACAGUUCCUGACACUGAGACACGAAGGCCAGGGGAGCAAACGGG
rnacentral:rRNA from 1 species